rnacentral:lncRNA from 1 species
CGCGCAUACACGCACCAUCCCGACCACGUUUGGCCUGGAGGAGCCAGGGGCAACCCGGCCGCGCUGCGCGCCACUUCCCCUUCGCGUCCCCGCGCUUCCCUGCGGCUAGGGCGCCGUGUUGAAGAGGCUGCUGGCUCCACUGGGUGAUAAAAACCCAAAUCUGCGAAGCCAUCACGCACACUCGCGCGCGCACUCACACACACACGCGCGCACACACACACACACACACACACUCGCACACCCUCUCCCCUCCCCCGCUGCCCAAAGGUGUCUCGGAGGAAAAGGCCUGGGGUCCAAGCUCUCAUUUUUCCUCUCUCCCAUCAUUCCGAGGUCCAGCUUUUACUGCAUUCCGCUUAACCGAAUAACCAUGCUAAUUAAGCGAGUAAUUUUAUUGAUUGUAACUCAAGAGUUUUUUUUUUUUUAAAUAAUCUUCCUUUUCUCCCCUCUCCCAUCCCCCCAUGCGUCUUUCAGUCCGUUCUUUUGAAUCUGUCGCCCCCCUAACCCAACGGGACGGCCCCCGCCCCCCGACACCGUGCCAGGAUCCCAAGCCAGCUCCCCGGAGCCGCGGGCUCCCGCAUCACCUGGGCCGCCGCGCCGCAGUGCCCGGCCUGCUGUCCCCGAGCCGGGAGCUUCCUGGCGAGGCUGGAACAAUCACCCCGCCCCCCAAUCAAAUUCGCCCAGGAUCUUCCUCUGCGGAUUGGGGGCUUUGGGGGAAUGCUUUGAGAGUCGGAAAUUGUUUUCUUUCAGCCUCCCAAAUCGGCCACAACAUUUCUCCAUUCAGUGUCUGCCUGUCCAGGAUCGCCCAGCUAAGGUCGGUCUCCGCGUGGCCCGGCGGCCCAGGGAUGCGGAUGUACGGCACCGGGUUCGGCCCAGCAGCUGGGGAGGAUGGGCCCGGCCCAGAGCGGCCUUCACCCACGCUCAAGUCCCCGCAGACCCCGGACCUCCAUGGUCCAUCCACCCCCACCCUCGUCAAGGCCGACUAUAAAUGACCCUCGCCUGUCUUCUCUUCCACUCCCACCCACCAAGAAGCAUCUACUUCCAGGCGAAAUUGGGGACAAUUUCAGACAAGGCAGUAAAGCAACGGAGCAAGCUAUGUUAAGUGUGCACUACCGAGGGCAUGCUACCAAAGGUUCUCCCCUUCUCCAUUCCUCAUAUUUCUUUUUAUUUCCUAAACACACAUUGUUUUAAUGUUUGCUAUCACCUCCAACAGAAGGGAUAUGGACAAGCUCAAUACUCUUUAGUUGUGAACUUUGCAGAAAACCUCGUGGUGUUUUUUUUUUUUUUUUUAAUAAGCCGUCCCACCGUGACAACAAAGCGAUUAAGAUGUUUUCCAUUUCGUAAAUACCAUUUUAAAUUGCUGUUUUAUGCUUCGAGUUCUACAACGUCUUAUUUGCAGACUAUUUUGUGUCUGAUUUAAUCUAUAACCGAAAACAUAAUGUAUUAAGUGAAUACAUAUUUGCUCAGCUGAUAAGCUUUUUUAAUAUUUAUUCGGAGAGCUUUUGCAUUGUAAAUAAACGGGACUACACAAAGA